GCACUAGUGGUUUAGUGGUAGAAUAGUACCCUACCACGGUACAGACCCGGGUUCGAUUCUCGGCUGGUGCA
rfam:Ipomoea nil DNA, scaffold: scaffold2957, cultivar: Tokyo-kokei standard.